rnacentral:rRNA from 1 species
UACGGAGGGGGCUAGCGUUGUUCGGAAUUACUGGGCGUAAAGCGCACGUAGGCGGCUUUGCAAGUCAGAGGUGAAAGCCCGGGGCUCAACCCCGGAAUUGCCUUUGAGACUGCAUCGCUAGAAUUGUGGAGAGGUAAGUGGAAUUCCGAGUGUAGAGGUGAAAUUCGUAGAUAUUCGGAAGAACACCAGUGGCGAAGGCGACUUACUGGACACAUAUUGACGCUGAGGUGCGAAAGCGCGGGGAGCAAACAGG